CCCAGUGGCUGGAGGAGCAGCUCUCCAGUCAGCCUUUGCAGCCCCUCUCUUUUUCCCUUUCCACCGGGCCUCCUCGGAUCCCUUGGCUGGGCACUGAGGCGGGGAAGAGGCUGGGGUCGCCACGGCGGAGAUUGCUGCCGCCACCCCCCUGCGGGGGUGGCCGGGGUUCCCGGCUGGGGGGGUACCGUUCUGGGUGAGGCAUCCACCAUGGUGAGGCCCCUGUGCCGCUGCCCCCGCGCCCCCCCGGCCGCCGCUGCCUCCUGCCCCUCGGUGCUGCUGCUGCUCCCCCGCCUGCUGUUGCUCCUCCAUCUCCAGAUCGGAUCACGGUGAGGGAAAGAUGAGCGAGGAGACGGCGACUUCUGACAACGAUAAUAGUUAUGCACGAGUGCGAGCUGUGGUGAUGACCCGAGAUGACUCAAGUGGUGGAUGGUUACCGCUUGGAGGGAGUGGACUAAGCAGCGUCACUGUCUUCAAAGUCCCUCAUCAGGAAGAGAAUGGCUGUGCUGACUUUUUUAUCCGUGGAGAGCGACUCAGGGACAAAAUGGUGGUUUUGGAAUGUAUGCUUAAAAAAGACCUCAUUUAUAAUAAGGUCACUCCAACAUUUCACCACUGGAAGAUUGAUGACAAGAAGUUUGGUCUUACGUUUCAAAGUCCUGCUGAUGCUAGGGCUUUUGAUAGAGGUAUCCGAAGAGCUAUAGAGGAUAUUUCUCAAGGAUGCCCCGAAUCAAAAAAUGAAGCUGAAGGGGCAGAUGACUUACAAGUUCUGGAGACCUGAAAAUGGAGCACUGCUGUAACAAAUACUAAAACAUGGGAAUGACUUUGGACUCAGGACUCAGACAGUAAAUAAAAGCUGGAAGGUCUUUGAGGCGAGUUUUAGUGAAGUUCCGAAGAGACUUACUGGAAGCUUGAAGAUCUUUGGAUAGAGUGUCAGUGAGGGCUUAAAUGAAAAUGAAGAAAACCAUAUUGGAAAAUGGAAGAAAGGGAAUGUUUGUUUAGUGGCUGAAAGCUUAGCAACAAUGUCAUGGCAGUAAUGUGGGAAGCAGACAAUGUACCUAAUGUACUGGGUGGUUAAGCUAAGGAGUUUUCAAGCAAAAGGUUGAAGCUGUUUGCCUGGUUUCUUCUUACUGCUUAUGAUAAACAGUAAAUGAGAGAAGUAAGCUAAGGAAGGGCUCCUAA
rnacentral:sRNA from 1 species